CCUACGGGGUGCAGCAGUGAGGAAUAUUGGUCAAUGGACGAGAGUCUGAACCAGCCAAGUCGCGUGAAGGAUGACUGCCCUAUGGGUUGUAAACUUCUUUUAUAUGGUAAUAAAAUGUUCCACGUGUGGGAUUUUGUAUGUACCCUAUGAAUAAGGAUCGGCUAACUCCGUGCCAGCAGCCGCGGUAAUACGGAGGAUCCGAGCGUUAUCCGGAGUUAUUGGGUUUAAAGGGAGCGUAGGUGGAUUGUUAAGUCAGUUGUGAAAGUUUGCGGCUCAACCGUAAACGUGCAGUUGAAACUGGCAGUCUUGAGUACAGUAGAGGUGGGCGGAAUUCGUGGUGUAGCGGUGAAAUGCUUAGAUAUCACGAAGAACUCCGAUUGCGAAGGCAGUUCACUGGACUGCAACUGACACUGAGGCUCGAAAGUGUGGGUAUCAAACAGGAUUAGAUACCCUGGUAGUC
rnacentral:rRNA from 1 species